GUUUUUAUAGGAUAAUUGUAAUCUAUUAUAUUUAGGGUGUAAAGAUAUUUAUAUUAAAAACU
rnacentral:tRNA from 1 species